CUUCAAAGUGGUAAAUUGAAAGAAUAUAAGAAUGUAAAUAAAUAAAUGUAUAUAAAUGUAUAUAAAUCGGCGGGUAUUGAAAAAUACCUUUUAGAAAUUAAAAAUGUUAACCGUCAAGCAGUUACAAGAUUACGAGUUUCAGCGCACAGAUUACCAGUAGAAAUUGGUCGAUAUAAAAAAAUUGCCUACUGUGAUAGAAAAUGUAAACUUUGUUAUCAGGG